AUGUUUUCGGGUUCGGGUCAAAAAAUGUCAAAACCCCCUCUCCUCUCUGUACCCUCGAGAAAUCCUGCGAUCGGUUCAGCUUCGGGAGCUUCUUGGAGAGAUUGUGGUUGUAAAACUCAAAAGUGGAUAGUUGUCGUUAUGAUUUGCUGCCGUUGGUUCUAAUCAGAGGAUAAUUGAUGAGGAAGUUAACAUUGUCAACCCUAAAACCUUGGGAUAAGGGCUUGGUUGUUGUUGCUGUUAUAUGAUUUUCAAAGACAUUUGUUUGAGGAAAUGAGUAGGCUGAAGGGUGCUCACUGUUUCCUUGGGUUAAUAUCUCGGAGAGGCUAUCCUCAGGUUACUUCUUUAUUAACUGCAAAUGAAACCUCAAUAAAUUCCUUGUUAGAGCUCUUUCGGCUUCAGCGAAUGUCAGCACGAACACUUUUUUAGUUGUUGCUUCAGGUGAAGUGAAAGGGGCUUGAACCAAAUUCGUCCGAUCCUUACUAAAAAGGCUGAACGAGGUGGGCCUGUCUCGUGGUUGAGCCUUUUGUUGCUUAUUGCCACCGGAAGUGGGAUAACUGUAUACUAUGACAAAGAGAAGAAACGGCACAUAGAAGAGUCAUGGAGACAAUCAAGAAAGAAGCUCUGAUGUCUCUAAUAGUUAGUGAAUAAAACUCUACUACAUUGGCAGAAGAUUAGCAAGAGGCAACCAGCUUAGGACAUGAUUUGAAUGCAAGACCCUCUGCUGGUCUAGAAUCUGUUGAUGGUGAAUUAGACAGGAAUCUUCCCUCCUCGUCACUGGAAAUUGAAGAACAACAUGAGGAACUGGCAGAAACUCAGGGGUUGAGAGAGCUACAACGAGCACUGAUGCUCCCCUGUCAGAGACAUCUAAUGCAGACUCUAAUUCUGGUGUUGAGAGAGCUACAACAAGCGCAAGUAUCUGGAACUCACAUGAUCCCCUGCCGGACAUCUAAUGCAAACUCAAACUCUGGGGUUGAGGUAGCUGCAACGAGCAUAUGUAUAUGAAACUCACAUACUUUCCCAUCUUAUGUUGCUUGUUGUUGAUGUCAAUCCUAAGAUAUCUGUUACUUGUUCUAAAAUAGGUUAUUUGUAACUCAGAUGCUCCCCUGCCGGACAUCUAAUGCAAACUCAAACUCUGGGGUUGAGGUUAUUUGUAACUCAGAUGCUCCCCUGCUAGAGACAUCGAAUGCAGACUAACUCUGGGUUGAGGGGGCUGCAAAGAGCACAUGGGGAGUGGCAAUCCCUCUAAGGAGAAGCAGCAGGAAAAGACUCCCAGCUUUCUGUUCGUGGAGACAUGUUGGCGGUCUUGGGAAAAGACUCCCAGCUUUAUGUUCGUGGACUUUGUGCCUUGUAUUGACAGCAAAGUUUUGAGGAGAAAUUUGUGCAUAGAGCACUAGAAAGAAACAAUAAGGGUUUCAGCAUAGCAGACGCAAAGCUGGCUUCCUGUUACGCAAAGUUCAUGCUUGGAGAACAAACAAAUGAGGACAUCCAAAGAUCAGUGCGUGAGCUGGACAAAAGGUAUCCUUAUGCAUCAGAUAGAUGCAUAACUAUUUCCAUGAAAUACUCGAAACAACUCUUUAGCAUCUAUAAGAAGGGAGGGGACCGAUUCUUUCAACCGUAGUGAGGAGAGAGCCUUAUAAAUACUAAAGACUGUCAGUCUCUUGUAAUCAGAAAAAGCAGUUUCCUUGUGUAGUAUUUGACAAUUUUAUUGUAACAUGGUAUCUGAUUUUAGUAUAAGUUACUGUUGUGUAUAUUCCAACUCACAGUCCACAUGACAGGUAUAUCAUUUUCAUGUUAACA